rnacentral:rRNA from 1 species
UACGUAUGGUGCAAGCGUUGUCCGGAAUUAUUGGGCGUAAAGAGCUCGUAGGCGGUCUGUCGCGUCGGCUGUGAAAUCCCGAGGCUCAACCUCGGGUCUGCAGUCGAUACGGGCAAACUAGAGUAUUGCAGGGGAGACUGGAAUUCCUGGUGUAGCGGUGAAAUGCGCAGAUAUCAGGAGGAACACCGGUGGCGAAGGCGGGUCUCUGGGCAAUAACUGACGCUGAGGAGCGAAAGCGUGGGGAGCGAACAGG